rnacentral:rRNA from 1 species
AACGAACGCUGGCGGCAUGCCUAACACAUGCAAGUCGAACGAGACCUUCGGGUCUAGUGGCGCACGGGUGCGUAACGCGUGGGAACCUGCCCUUAGGUUCGGAAUAACUCCCCGAAAGGGGUGCUAAUACCAGAUAAUGUCUUCGGACCAAAGAUUUAUCGCCUUUGGAUGGGCCCGCGUUGGAUUAGCUAGUUGGUAGGGUAAAAGCCUACCAAGGCGACGAUCCAUAGCUGGUCUGAGAGGAUGAUCAGCCACACUGGGACUGAGACACGGCCCAGACUCCUACGGGAGGCAGCAGUGGGGAAUAUUGGACAAUGGGCGAAAGCCUGAUCCAGCAAUGCCGCGUGAGUGAUGAAGGCCUUAGGGUUGUAAAGCUCUUUUACCCGGGAUGAUAAUGACAGUACCGGGAGAAUAAGCACCGGCUAACUCCGUG